GCGGUGGUAGUUCAGCCUGGUUAGAACGCCCGCCUGUCACGCGGGAGAUCGCCGGUUCAAAUCCGGUCCACCGCG
rfam:Parcubacteria (Azambacteria) bacterium GW2011_GWB1_42_17 TV07_C0025, whole genome shotgun sequence.